GACGUAGGGCGCGAGCGUUGUCCGGAUUUAUUGGGCGUAAAGAGCUCGUAGGCGGCUUGUCGCGUCGUCCGUGAAAACCCGCAGCUCAACUGUGGGCCUGCAGCUGAUACGGGCGGGCUGGAGUUCGGUAGGGGAGACUGGAAUUCCCGGUGUAGCGGUGAAAUGCGCAGAUAUCAGGAGGAACACCGGUGGCGAAGGCGGGUCUCUGGGCAGUAACUGACGCUGAGGAGCGAAAGCGUGGGGAGCAAACAGG
rnacentral:rRNA from 1 species